rnacentral:rRNA from 1 species
UACGUAGGGUGCAAGCGUUGUCCGGAAUUAUUGGGCGUAAAGAGCUCGUAGGCGGUCUGUCGCGUCUGGUGUGAAAACUCAAGGCUUAACCUUGGGCCUGCAUCGGGUACGGGCAGACUAGAGUUCGGCAGGGGAGACUGGAAUUCCUGGUGUAGCGGUGAAAUGCGCAGAUAUCAGGAGGAACACCGGUGGCGAAGGCGGGUCUCUGGGCCGAUACUGACGCUGAGGGGCGAAAGCGUGGGGAGCGAACAGG